ensembl:snoRNA SNORD22 Small nucleolar RNA SNORD22
GUUAAGGUGAACCUACUGGGACAGGCUAGGAGAGAAGAGGAAAGUUUGGUUCAGAAGAAACUAUCUUA